UACAGAGGUCUCAAGCGUUGUUCGGAUUCAUUGGGCGUAAAGGGUGCGUAGGUGGGUCUGUAAGUCAGUGGUGAAAUCCCCGAGCUUAACUUGGGAACUGCCGUUGAUACUAUAGAUCUUGAAUAUCGUGGAGGUAAGCGGAAUAUGUCAUGUAGCGGUGAAAUGCUUAGAUAUGACAUAGAACACCAAUUGCGAAGGCAGCUUACUACACGAUCAUUGACACUGAGGCACGAAAGCGUGGGGAGCAAACAGG
rnacentral:rRNA from 1 species